UUGGAGGGCAAGUCUGGUGCCAGCAGCCGCGGUAAUUCCAGCUCCAAUAGCGUAUAUUAAAGUUGUUGCAGUUAAAAAGCUCGUAGUUGAAUUUCGGGAUCAAUAUUUCGGUCAUGCCGUUGGUAUGCACUGUUAUCAUUGAUUUCUCACCUUCUAAAGAACCGUAAUGCCAUUAAUUUGGUGUUACGGGGAAUUAGGACUGUUACCUUGAAAAAAUUAGAGUGUUUAAAGCAGGCUCACGCUUGAAUACAUUAGCAUGGAAUAAUGAAAUAGGACAUCCGAUUCUAUUUUGUUGGUUUCUAGGAUCGAUGUAAUGAUUAAUAGGGAUAGUUGGGGGCAUUAGUAUUCAAUUGUCAGAGGUGGAAUUCUUGGAUUUAUUGAAGACUAACUACUGCGAAAGCAUUUGCCAAGGAUGUUUUCAUUAAUCAAGAACGAAAGUUAGGGGAUCGAAGACGAUCAGAUACCGUCGUAGUCUUAACCAUAAACUAUGCCGACUAGGGAUCGGAUGAUGUUAAUUUUUUAAUGACUCAUUCGGCGCCUUACGGGAAAC
rnacentral:rRNA from 1 species